rnacentral:rRNA from 1 species
AUGAACGCUGGCGGCGUGCUUAACACCUGCAAGUCGAACGAAGCACUUUAUUUGAUUUCCUUCGGGACUGAUUAUUUUGUGACUGAGUGGCGGACGGGUGAGUAACGCGUGGGUAACCUGCCUUGUACAGGGGGAUAACAGUUGGAAACGGCUGCUAAUACCGCAUAAGCGCACAGCAUCGCAUGAUGCAGUGUGAAAAACUCCGGUGGUAUAAGAUGGACCCGCGUUGGAUUAGCUAGUUGGUGAGGUAACGGCCCACCAAGGCGACGAUCCAUAGCCGACCUGAGAGGGCGACCGGCCACAUUGGGACUGAGACACGGCCCAAACUCCUACGGGAGGCAGCAGUGGGGAAUAUUGCACAAUGGGCGAAAGCCUGAUGCAGCGACGCCGCGUGAGCGAAGAAGUAUUUCGGUAUGUAAAGCUCUAUCAGCAGGGAAGAUAAUGACGGUACCUGACUAAGAAGCACCGGCUAAAUACGUG